AGUCCUACGGGGGGCAGCAGUGAGGAAUAUUGGUCAAUGGCCGGAAGGCUGAACCAGCCAAGUCGCGUGAGGGAAUAAGGCCCUAUGGGUCGUAAACCUCUUUUGUCAGGGAGCAAAGGCGUCCACGUGUGGACGAGAGGAGAGUACCUGAAGAAAAAGCAUCGGCUAACUCCGUGCCAGCAGCCGCGGGAAUACGGAGGAUGCGAGCGUUAUCCGGAUUCAUUGGGUUUAAAGGGUGCGCAGGCGGGCCUUUAAGCCUGCGGGGAAAUAGCGGGGCUCAAACCC
rnacentral:rRNA from 1 species